GACGAACGCUGGCGGCGUGCUUAACACAUGCAAGUCGAACGGAAAGGCCCUGCUUUUUUGGUGUGCUCGAGUGGCGAACGGGUGAGUAACACGUGAGUAACCUGCCCUUUACUUUGGGAUAACUUCAGGAAACUGGGGCUAAUACCGGAUAGGAGCUCCUGCUGCAUGGUGGGGGUUGGAAAGUUUCGGCGGUUGGGGAUGGACUCGCGGCUUAUCAGCUUGUUGGUGGGGUAGUGGCUUACCAAGGCUUUGACGGGUAGCCGGCCUGAGAGGGUGACCGGCCACAUUGGGACUGAGAUACGGCCCAGACUCCUACGGGAGGCAGCAGUGGGGAAUAGUGCACAAUGGGCGGAAGCCUGAUGCAGCAACGCCGCGUGCGGGAUGACGGCCUUCGGGUUGUAAACCGCUUUCGCCUGUGACGAAGCGUGAGUGACGGUAAUGGGUAAAGAAGCACCGGCUAACUACGUG
rnacentral:rRNA from 1 species